AAAAUUCUGAGAUGUUCGUAAGACCUAGUAAAAUUCAACCUACAAUAUACAUCCGGGAGAUUAUAUUUUUAUUUGGACGGAAAGCCUCCUCGAGUGGACUUCGAAAGAAUAAAAUGUAUCACCCACCUUGGAGAAGGGCUAGGAUGUGAAUUUUACGGUUAACGGCAUCUUGGAUUUAUU
rnacentral:other from 1 species